rnacentral:lncRNA from 1 species
GCGCUAUCUUUUUAAGAUUCCUAGUAAUCCAAUAGGAAUAAAAAAAUAUGACGGUGUUUGGCUAACGCACUAAGUAUUUUUUUAAGAUUCCUAGUAAUCCAAUAGGAAUAAAAAAAUAUGACGGUGUUUGGCUAAACGCACUAAGUAAUCUAGUUAGUAAUACUAGAUUUACUUGGGAAUGAGAUGCAUCCCAAAGUACUAAUCUCAUUCCUUUGAGAGAGGGUGGGUAUCCUUAUAUUAAUAGAUUGGAGCAAUUAUAAUAUGUCUAAUCUCUUUUUUUCUUCCCACCCGCCGGCUAGUUGGUAUUAUUAUUUUUUACACUCUAACCUCAUAUCUCUCUCUAAACUUAUCUCUCUUUUUUUUUUCUAAAGUUCAACUCUUUUUCUCUCUCCAAAUAAAUUAAGCUAUUUCUCCCUCUCUUUUUCUAAAAUCUCAACCCUCUCAUUCUCUCUAACCUCGACUCUAUUUCUCUUUCUAUUUAUUUAAUUAUGCUCUCUCUUUCUAACCUAUAUUCUCUCUUUCUUUUUUCUAAAAAAAUGUUGAAAUUUUUUUAUAGUAUUAUUUAAAAUUAAUUAAUUAAUUAAUUGUGUAUUUUUCGUAAUUUUAAAUAAGAUGACUAUAUAAUAUGACCAUACGAACCAAACACGGAAAUACUACAUUCUUGGUAAUAGGAUGAAUAGGAAUAAGAUUCUCGGAUAUCUUUUAACUCUUAGUAAUCUUUCAUAGUGCGAACCAAACGCACCCUAAGAGUCAUUAAAUAACUCAACUCAUACAA